UGUGAUUGAAAAUCAUUUGAAUUGAAAGGGUGGUUGUGUCGCCAUGCCUUGAAAGUGUUGAAUGAUAACAUAUUGGUUACGAGUAUUCCAUCUUCUUAUAUUUUGAAAAGAUGGACCAAGGGUGCCAAAGAAGGAAUUGUGAAUGAUGAAUGUCAGCAAAUGUCUUCAAGUUCAUCUAAAUUUAAUCGGUUUUCCACGUUAAUGCAAGAAUCUUUUGAAUUGAUGAGUUUGGGAGCCGAAGAUGUAAAUACUAUGACUAUAGUGAGAACAAACAUGAAAAAAACGAAGGCUGAAAUUGCAUCAUACAAAGCAAGUGUGGUUGUCACUGAUGAUGCUGUCCCUGAUGACGAUGAUGAUAUUGAGGAUUCUUGUGAGAUUUCAGUUUCAGACCCUAUUCGAAGAAAAGGAAAGGGAAUAAGCUAUGGAAGGCUCAAAAGUUCAAGUGAGAAAAAGAAUAAAAAAUCUAAGAAAGGAACACCCCCCACGCGAAUAGAAAGUCGAGAAUUGGCUAUCCAAGUGACACAUAAUGAAAGUCAUUAUCCAGACUAGUCAAGUAAUUCAAAUCUAUCUCGAAGUGCCCUUUAUCCUAGCAAUGUCGACGGUCCAUCGGUGCAGCAGCCACCAUGUUUCAUGCCUCCGGGGAUUAUGAAUGGGUUUUCCCCAUUUCCCAAUCAGAUGCAAUACCCAUAUAUUAUGCCGCCAGGGAAUAUGAAUGGAUAUUUGCCAUUCACAAAUCAGAUGUUGGCGUAUCAUAAUAGAUCUCACGGAACCAUUUUGAGUCAAGUAUAACUCGCCCUUUCUCUUAUGAAACCAUAAUUUAGCCCUACUUGGAAUGUCUAUCGCUUUUAGUUCCUAUGUGAAAUAAUCUUCUUGUAGGGAGCGAUUCUUGAUGGUUUAUAACAUAC